AAGUUGGGUGGAAGUGUACAUGUUGAAUUACAUGAGGUCACCAAACUUGACAAACCAAUACAGAUGAUAAAAGUACAACUUCUACCAUCCAAACAGGUGAAACAAAAUAAUAAGAGGGUCAGAGAGAUGUCAGGCUCUUGAGGUGGAGUCUAAUUAGACACAAUAAGUGAAAAACACCUGUGUGGGUGGAAUAUGAGUGAAGGGCUGUGAUCUCUGUUCAUAAUGAGAGACAACUAGUGGUUCAAUUUCUGACUCCCUUAAACCUCUGAAAUAUGUCCAUACAGUGUUUCACUGUUUGAAAAGGUAAAAGGGUAGUAAAUAUACAGGAUGUCCAAGAUAUUUUUAUUUAUUUAUUUAUUUUUCCCCCAAGUAUUAAAUGUUUUUUGUUUUUUGGGUUGUUUUUUUUUUGCAAUCAUGGUCACGUGCUAGCUUGUGAGAAUUCCCAGCAUGUUCAACACCAUGAUUGCCACCACUAGCUGGAAGAUACUGUAGAUGAGGGGGAAGGCAAACAUGACCUCCAGCUCAGCAGGGCUGAAGGACAGCUGGACGAUGGUGCUGCACAACUGGGAGUUCUGGAAACCCGUCUCCAGUGCGAUGGUUCGACACCUGAACGAAGCAUGAAAUGAUGAACCACCACAUAAGUAGAUUCCACGAGACGACUCCAGUUUCUCCCGCUAUGAUAUCCAAGAAGAUAAUGGUGAACCAACUGUCCUGCUCACUGGUCUUUAUGUCUACGCUGCUACAGCCCAAUGCAACUGGGCGGGAGAAUCAGGUGAAAGAAAAAUAAAAAAUUAACCAGUCUUUCAUGUUUUAUGGGGUCAGUGUUCAGAAGCACAUGCAUAUAAAAAGAGAAUCAUUUUGAAAUCUGAUUGCACCAUGGCUCUACCUUUUAUUGUCCCAUUAAAACUUUAUUGGACCGCUAUGCAGCAUCAUCAUCCUAGGAGAUGCUAGCAGUUCAAGAGAUUGAACACCUUUUAUGCACAAGGUAUUCUUUGAACAACGCCUAUAAAAAUUACUCUCCUUGGCCUCUUUUUAUUGUUUUUUUAUAGACAUGAAAAAGACAUUAAACAGUGGAUGUAAUGAUGACUUUUGGCAUAGAUUGAAAGAAACUAUAUAUAGUAA